GAUCCUGGCUCAGGAUGAACGCUAGCGGCAGGCCUAAUACAUGCAAGUCGGACGGGAUCCGUCGGAGAGCUUGCUCGAAGACGGUGAGAGUGGCGCACGGGUGCGUAACGCGUGAGCAACCUACCUCUAUCAGGGGGAUAGCCUCUCGAAAGAGAGAUUAACACCGCAUAACAUCAACAGUUCGCAUGUUCAGUUGAUUAAAUAUUUAUAGGAUAGAGAUGGGCUCGCG
rnacentral:rRNA from 1 species